GAUGAACGCUGGCGGCGUGCCUAAUACAUGCAAGUCGAGCGAACAGAUGAGGAGCUUGCUCCUCUGACGUUAGCGGCGGACGGGUGAGUAACACGUGGAUAACCUACCUAUAAGACUGGGAUAACUUCGGGAAACCGGAGCUAAUACCGGAUAAUAUAUUGAACCGCAUGGUUCAAUAGUGAAAGACGGUUUUGCUGUCACUUAUAGAUGGAUCCGCGCCGCAUUAGCUAGUUGGUAAGGUAACGGCUUACCAAGGCAACGAUGCGUAGCCGACCUGAGAGGGUGAUCGGCCACACUGGAACUGAGACACGGUCCAGACUCCUCAGGGAGGCAGCAGUAGGGAAUCUUCCGCAAUGGGCGAAAGCCUGACGGAGCAACGCCGCGUGAGUGAUGAAGGUCUUCGGAUCGUAAAACUCUGUUAUUAGGGAAGAACAAAUGUGUAAGUAACUAUGCACGUCUUGACGGUACCUAAUCAGAAAGCCACGGCUAACUACGUG
rnacentral:rRNA from 1 species